AGGAGAAACUGGUUUUGAGGCCGGAGACAGCACAGGAAGAGCUCUGAGACUGUGCUGCUCUUACUGGCCAGCAUCUGGCAUCCUGGUUGCCAGGAAAUGCCUUUUAUCACGUAGGUAGAAUGAAUAGUAAACCAAGGCAGGGAUGCAGAAGAGGGAGACAUGUCUCACCCGCUAACUCAGCAGUCCUGAGCCUGGUCUGAUAAUAUUGCCAAGUGUUCCGACAUCACAAGAAAUACUAUGUUAGCAAGGAAGGAGGGCAGUCCUUGAAACGACUCUAUGUAGCACUUCCACUAUCUGCGAAAGCCCUGAACUGUGUAUUCACCCCAAGGCCUGGAAGGGGGAAGAGGACAGGGUCCACAGUGCCCAAAGAAGCAGCCCAUCAAACAACUUUGGUUAAUUGUCUACCUGUGUCACUAUCUGUUUUAUGAGUGAGUCCCUAAUGCUUACAGAAACAGCCCAUAAGUAACUUCAGGUAACUGCCCUGACUUUAAUUAACUGCCUCCUGUCACGUAUCUGUUUUACAAGAUGAACAAAUGGAGUCUGGAGCAAGAUAAGGAUUCGGGCUACCAGACCCCACACACACCUAAGUUUGAGUUGUCAUGUCCCCCGGGAAGAGCUGGCACCACAUGUACCCAUCAAUCAAUGUGUAACUUUUUUACUCCCAUCCCACCAACUGUGUGAGUCCUCAAGACAAAGGACUCACUCUCUGGGUACUCCGGGUGUCCUUGGCCCUCUUGGCUCUCCGGCCAUGCAGCCUCAGGCCACCCCAGGGCUUGCCACCCCCACCUUCCGCUGCCCUCACUUCCGCCACCCUGCUAUGCCCUGAACCU